rnacentral:lncRNA from 1 species
AUGGGAAUUGUGUGUAUUUAUGGAGAGAGUAGACCUUUUCUUAAGAGCACUCUGAUAAUGGAAACACCUAAAAUUACUGUAAGAAGCACUUUGGAAGGGCUCCUGAAUCUCUUGUUUGCUCUUGCUCUGGAGUAUGGGGGAAUACCACAAGCUAAUUUGAAAUACAGAAGCUAGAUUUCAAGUCUCCAUCCUGCAGUCUGGAUUGUUGCCAUUUUGUGGGACAGAUGCAGCGCUUGGAAAAUGAAAGCCCGAUUCUGUGAAAUACAAGAGAUGCUCACAUCUAAUCAACCACAACUAGAAGCCACAGCUGAUAAGCAGCUCCUAAACAGUAUGUAAACAUUUUGGUCACUUAACUACCAGGAUUAACUGAUAUAUAGAAGUAAAUGGCCAGCUUUAUAGUAUCCAUGUUGUGUAUUUGGGGUAGAAUGCACACUUAAAGAAAUGUUCCUGCAAAGUCUGAAAUAGGCAGGAGGUACUUUAGUCCAUGGAACAAUGGGGCAUGCAAAGCAUGUGUCACCACUGCCAGUGACAAGAUCCUGUUUCUGAAAAAAACCCUUCCUAAAUGGUAGUGUAUGCUGUAUUUCAGCACUGGACAGAGAGGAUUAAUGUGAUUCAUUAAUCUCUAAGAGAACGCAUUGGGAAUUACCAGGUUUGGGGAUAUCAUUGUACUGUUUUGUUAAUUUUUUUUUUUUUUCAGUAAAAGCAAACAAUAGCUUUAACACCUAAAACAAACUGCAGGUUAGAUCCCUGCAUCUUGAAAUUAAGUUUUGAAUAGUGUUGCAAGUGUUGGAAAAGGAAAAUCAGGUUCUCUAAUACUGUUAUGUACUUGUUAUAUUAUUUUGGAAGUACUUAAUAGCGUUGAAGUUAGGACAGCUCCUCUCCUUGAUUUAGAAAGUCCAUUAGUGUAGAGAAAUUAUGGAUUUAAAGGUAUAACUAUAUAACAUACUUAUUCUUGAACUUUUUUCAUGACUGACAUUACAGAUCUGUUUUCAGCUUGCAGAUGGACUUAGGCCAGCAUACACCAGGACUGGACACAUAUGCUUCAAAAUGCUGUUCUACAAACGAGUGAUCUGUAACACUGUAAAAUACCAACUCCCAAUAGUUUAAUCAGUUUUAUUUUUGUACAGUAUUCGUAUUCUUUAUAAGUUAUUUUGCUGUCCUGUUUUGUAAAUCA